ACCCCCCGCCGCCAUGAAACUCAAAAACAAAGGCAAAAAGGUCUUCCCUUCCCCCUCCUCCUCCGCCCCCUCCUCCGUCGAUGUCCCCUCCAUCCUCAAUCUCCUCCCCACCGCCAUCUUUACCCUCGCCACCGUCCUCUCCCUCGAAGACCGUGAAGUCCUCGCCUAUAUGAUUACCAUGUUCCUCAAAUCCACCUCCUCCUCCUCCUCCUCCGCCGCACCGAACAAGAAACCCGCCAAGAAACCGGCCAAGAAAUCAGCCGCCGCCACCACCAACAGCAGCACCUCGAAUCCUUCU
rnacentral:lncRNA from 1 species